CGUUCACGGAGGAGUUGAAUAUAAACAUUCCUGUGCUUUAGCCAGGGUCAUGAUCCUUAUGAAGCCGAAUAAACAAUUAUUAUUAUUAUUACCAACGCCUGGCUGCAUGGACUACAGACUUCCUCACCAACAGGCCGCAGUACGUGAGGUUGCAUCGCUGUGAGUCUGACGUGGUGCUCUGCAGCACAGGUGUCCCCCAGGGGGAACGAUCUGGAAUACAGGACGGUCAUCAAGGACUUUGUCAGCUGGUGUGAGCUCAGCCAGCUUCAGCUGAACACCAGCAAGACGAAAGAGAUGAUUGUAAACUUCGGGAGGACAGCACCCCACUUCGCUCAGGUGAACAUCCAGGGAUCGGACAUUGAGGUAGUAGAGAACUACAAAUUCCUGGGUGUUCGCCUUAACAACAAAAUGGACUGGACUGAUCACACCCACGCCCUGUA